rnacentral:rRNA from 1 species
GACGAACGCUGGCGGCGUGCUUAACACAUGCAAGUCGAACGGAGAGGCCCUGCUUUUGUGGGGUGCUCGAGUGGCGAACGGGUGAGUAACACGUGAGUAACCUGCCCUUGACUUUGGGAUAACUUCAGGAAACUGGGGCUAAUACCGGAUAGGAGCUCCUGCUGCAUGGUGGGGGUUGGAAAUUUUCGGCGGUUGGGGAUGGACUCGCGGCUUAUCAGCUUGUUGGUGGGGUAGUGGCUUACCAAGGCUUUGACGGGUAGCCGGCCUGAGAGGGUGACCGGCCACAUUGGGACUGAGAUACGGCCCAGACUCCUACGGGAGGCAGCAGUGGGGAAUAUUGCACAAUGGGCGGAAGCCUGAUGCAGCAACGCCGCGUGCGGGAUGACGGCCUUCGGGUUGUAAACCGCUUUCGCCUGUGACGAAGCGUGAGUGACGGUAAUGGGUAAAGAAGCACCGGCUAACUACGUG